GGGUAUAGCUCAGUGGUAGAUUGCAUGCUUAGCAUGCAUGAGGUCCUGGGAUCAAUCUCCAGUACUUCCA
rnacentral:tRNA from 1 species